AUUGAACGCUGGCGGCAGGCUUAACGCAUGCAAGUCGAGCGGGGGAGGUUGCUUCGGUAACUGACCUAGCGGCGGACGGGUGAGUAAUGCUUAGGAAUCUGCCUAUUAGUGGGGGACAACAUUCCGAAAGGAAUGCUAAUACCGCAUACGCCCUACGGGGGAAAGCAGGGGAUCUUCGGACCUUGCGCUAAUAGAUGAGCCUAAGUCGGAUUGGCUAGUUGGUGGGGUAAAGGCCUACCAAGGCGACGAUCUGUAGCGGGUCUGAGAGGAUGAUCCGCCACACUGGGACUGAGACACGGCCCAGACUCCUACGGGAGGCAGCAGUGGGGAAUAUUGGACAAUGGGCGGAAGCCUGAUCCAGCCAUGCCGCGUGUGUGAAGAAGGCCUUUUGGUUGUAAAGCACUUUAAGCGAGGAGGAGGCUCUUAAGGUUAAUACCCUUGAUGAGUGGACGUUACUCGCAGAAUAAGCACCGGCUAACUCUGUGCCAGCCGCCGCGGUAAUAC
rnacentral:rRNA from 1 species